CCCGUCACGUGACAGAGUGCGGAGGCGGCCGCAGAGACGCCUCUCCUGCGGGCUAGGCGUGAUGAUAUUCACAUUUGAAACAAAUAGCCAUUGUAUACUCAGGACAGUGCAAAUUCUUGUCAGACUAGUUAUAACUCCUAUCAACCACACUAAAAAAAAAAAUCAGAAUGCAAGUUCAUGAAACUAAAGAUAUGGAACAACAAAUGAGGAAGAUGUAAAGUGAAAAGAGAAGAGGGCUGAGUAUGAAAUUUUGGAGUGAUAAAU